rnacentral:rRNA from 1 species
GAUCUUGCUUAAUGGGCGCAAGCCUGAAGCAGCAACGCCGCGUGUGUGAAGAAGGUCUUCGGAUUGUAAAGCACUUUAAGUUGGGAGGAAGAGUUGUAGGCUAAUACCUUGCAAUUUUGACGUUACCAACAGAAUAAGCACCGGCUAACUUCGUGCCAGCAGCCGCGGUAAUACGAAGGGUGCAAGCGUUAAUCGGAAUUACUGGGCGUAAAGCGCGCGUAGGUGGUUUGAUAAGUUGGAUGUGAAAGCCCCGGGCUCAACCUGGGAAUUGCAUCCAAAACUGUCUGACUAGAGUAUGGCAGAGGGUGGUGGAAUUUCCUGUGUAGCGGUGAAAUGCGUAGAUAUAGGAAGGAACACCAGUGGCGAAGGCGACCACCUGGGCUAAUACUGACACUGAGGUGCGAAAGCGUGGGGAGCAAACAGG